rnacentral:rRNA from 1 species
AUUGAACGCUGGCGGCAUGCCUUACACAUGCAAGUCGAACGGUAACAGGUCUUCGGGUGCUGACGAGUGGCGAACGGGUGAGUAAUACAUCGGAACGUGCCCGAUCGUGGGGGAUAACGAGGCGAAAGCUUUGCUAAUACCGCAUACGAUCUACGGAUGAAAGCGGGGGAUCUUCGGACCUCGCGCGGACGGAGCGGCCGAUGGCAGAUUAGGUAGUUGGUGGGAUAAAAGCUUACCAAGCCGACGAUCUGUAGCUGGUCUGAGAGGAUGAUCAGCCACACUGGGACUGAGACACGGCCCAGACUCCUACGGGAGGCAGCAGUGGGGAAUUUUGGACGAUGGGCGAAAGCCUGAUCCAGCCAUGCCGCGUGCAGGAUGAAGGCCUUUGGGUUGUAAACUGCUUUUGUACGGAACGAAAAGCCUCUUUCUAAUAAAGAGGGGUCAUGACGGUACCGUAAGAAUAAGCACCGGCUAACUACGUG